UACGUAGGGUGCGAGCGUUGUCCGGAAUUACUGGGCGUAAAGCGCGGGCAGGUGGCCUUUUAAGUCCUUUGUGAAAUCCCGGAGCUCAACUCCGGAUGUGCAUAGGAUACUGGAAGGCUAGAGACUGGUAGAGGCGAGCGGAAUUCCUGGUGUAGCGGUGGAAUGCGUAGAUAUCAGGAAGAACACCCGUGGCGAAGGCGGUUCUCUGGGACGGUACUGACGCUGAGACGCGAAAGCGUGGGGAGCGAACAGG
rnacentral:rRNA from 1 species